rnacentral:rRNA from 1 species
AUUGAACGCUAGCGGCAUGCCUUACACAUGCAAGUCGAACGGAGUGGCGAACGGGUGAGUAAUGUAUCGGAACGUGCCCAGUAGCGGGGGAUAACUACGCGCAAGCGUAGCUAAUACAGCAUACAAUUGGUGCGGCCUAUACCGGAUUAGCUAGCUGGUGGGGUAACGGCUCACCAAGGCGACGAUCCGUAGCUGGUUUGAGUGGACGACCAGCCACACUGGGACUGAGACACGGCCCAGACUCCUACGGGAGGCAGCAGUGGGGAAUUUUGGACAAUGGGGGAAACCCUGAUCCAGCCAUCCCGCGUGUGUGAUGAAGGCCUUCGGGUUGUAAAGCACUUUUAGCAGGAAGGCGGUACCUGCAGAAUAAGCACCGGCUAACUACGUGCCAGCAGCCGCGGUAAUAC